rnacentral:rRNA from 1 species
UACAGAGGUGGCAAGCGUUGUUCGGAAUUACUGGGCGUAAAGGGCGCGUAGGCGGCCAUCUAAGUCAGACGUGAAAUCCCCCGGCUUAACCUGGGAACUGCGUCUGAUACUGGACGGCUUGAGUGCGGGAGAGGGAUGUGGAAUUCCAGGUGUAGCGGUGAAAUGCGUAGAGAUCCGGAAGAACACCGGUGGCGAGGGCGGCCCGCUGGGCUGUGGCGGACGCUGAGGCGCGACAGCGUGGGGAGCAAACAGG